rnacentral:rRNA from 1 species
AUCGAACGCUGGCGGCAUGCCUUACACAUGCAAGUCGAACGGCAGCACGGGUGCUUGCACCUGGUGGCGAGUGGCGAACGGGUGAGUAAUACAUCGGAACAUGUCCUGUAGUGGGGGAUAGCCCGGCGAAAGCCGGAUUAAUACCGCAUACGAUCCACGGAUGAAAGCGGGGGACCUUCGGGCCUCGCGCUAUAGGGUUGGCCGAUGGCUGAUUAGCUAGUUGGUGGGGUAAAGGCCUACCAAGGCGACGAUCAGUAGCUGGUCUGAGAGGACGACCAGCCACACUGGGACUGAGACACGGCCCAGACUCCUACGGGAGGCAGCAGUGGGGAAUUUUGGACAAUGGGCGAAAGCCUGAUCCAGCAAUGCCGCGUGUGUGAAGAAGGCCUUCGGGUUGUAAAGCACUUUUGUCCGGAAAGAAAUCCUUGGCUCUAAUACAGUCGGGGGAUGACGGUACCGGAAGAAUAAGCACCGGCUAACUACGUG